rnacentral:rRNA from 1 species
CAGCCGCCGCGGUAAUACGUAGGGGGCAAGCGUUAUCCGGAAUUACUGGGUGUAAAGGGAGCGUAGACGGUUAAACAAGUCUGAAGUGAAAUGCCGGGGCUCAACCCCGGAGCUGCUUUGGGAACUGUAGAACUGGAGUGUCGGAGGGGUAAGCGGAAUUCCCAGUGUAGCGGUGAAAUGCGUAGAUAUUGGGAGGAACACCGGCGGCGAAGGCGGCUUACUGGACGACAACUGACGUUGAGGCUCGAAGGCGUGGGUAGCAAACAGGAUUAGAUACCCCAGUAGUCCCUGUCUCUUAUAC